UACGUAGGUGGCGAGCGUUGUCCGGAUUUAUUGGGCGUAAAGAGCUCGUAGGCGGCCUGUUGCGUCCGCUGUGAAAUCCCGGGGCUCAACCCCAGGCCUGCAGUGGAUACGGUCUGGCUAGAGGCAGGCAGGGGAGAACGAAAUUCCUGGUGUAGCGGUGAAAUGCGCAGAUAUCAGGAGGAACACCGGUGGCGAAGGCGGUUCUCUGGGCCUGUACUGACGCUGAGGAGCGAAAGCGUGGGGAGCGAACAGG
rnacentral:rRNA from 1 species